rnacentral:rRNA from 1 species
UACGAAGGGGGCUAGCGUUGUUCGGAAUCACUGGGCGUAAAGCGCACGUAGGCGGAUUGUUAAGUCGGGGGUGAAAUCCUGAGGCUCAACCUCAGAACUGCCUUCGAUACUGGCAAUCUCGAGUCCGGAAGAGGUUGGUGGAACAGCUAGUGUAGAGGUGAAAUUCGUAGACAUUAGCUAGAACACCAGUGGCGAAGGCGGCCAACUGGUCCGGUACUGACGCUGAGGUGCGAAAGCGUGGGGAGCAAACAGG